UGUAGUCAUUUCCCUGUUCGUGCGUUCUUCGUGUUACAUUUUCAGCUACUGAAGGCAUAUGACUUGAAUGCAGUGCACCCCGUCGCUCCUACUGACUCUGACAGUUGAACUUGAGCCAUGACAGACCCAGCAGACUCGGACCAGCUCCACAACACUGUCUCUAUGCAUGGAGCCACCAUUGGAAGACAUGAGGAGCUACUCCAGAACCUUAUGGAAGGACUCCAUACACUGGCGGGAAGUCAUGACCAGGGUUUCAAAACAUUACUGGAGCAAUUCCGUGGACUAUCUUUCAAGCAGCAUGCCACAACGGAGACCUCCCGGACACGCUCAGUAAUCCCCCUCCAAGUGGUGAUUUUGUACAGCCUACCACGGCUUCCUGAGAACCCCGCUUACUUCCUCCGGAGCGCUAUGCUGGGGAUCCUGAAACCUGCCGGCAUUUCUUUCCCAGUGCUCCCUCAUCUUUGAGCUGCAGCCGUCUUCAUUCCCUUCGGAUUGUUCUUCGGAUUGUUAUACUCUGUAAUAUGUCUCUAUGUAUUCUGAACAAUAAUAUAAACCCAACAAGUAAGGUGUUGGUCCCAUGUUUCAUAAGCUGAAAUAAAAUA